UUAACCACGUGGAAGAAUAUAUCAGAAUUAACAGUUAGAAGCAUAUCUUGUCUGUCAUGUCGUUUCGGCAAUACGAUUCCUGCGACUAAUUAACAUAAUAUUGGAGUUUUAAAUAUCAAAAUGAUUUCUGCAACUAAUUAGCAUAAUUUGAGUUGUGAAAAUAUACUAACCAGGGAUUGCAAAUAAUGAUUAUGAACCAGAGGCAGGUAUGAUGUCCCUGGCGAAAAGGAUGGAGCUGCAACACAAUAGAAAGCAAUAAAAACAGGUGAUGGAAUAAAGUUUCCUCAAAUAAAAAGUUCAGCUAUAUGAUUGCAAAUAUCAUGAAUAGGUCUUGCUUUUCUGCAGAGAGGUCGUGAGAAAAUCAGUUUUCACAUUUUUGCCAUCGUUAGGAAUGUUACAAGAAAUAAUUAUCUGACCGGAUGCCAGGAAAGCAUAUUUCUCCCUAAAGUUUCUCCCCUUUUUUCUCACUGCCAGUGUCUCCAUUGUAUCNAUAAUUUGAGUUGUGAAAAUAUACUAACCAGGGAUUGCAAAUAAUGAUUAUGAACCAGAGGCAGAUAUGAUGUAACUGGCAAAAAGGAUGGAGCUGCAACACAAUAGAAGGCA
rnacentral:lncRNA from 1 species